UUGAUAGGUGGUUUUGUCCAUGUGGACAGUGGUAUUAGGCCGAACCGCCUCGCGAUGUUGAGGUUCAUCGUCGCCGCCGUAGGUUGAAUCCACACCUCGCUGCAAGCCUGGAGCCUCGAUUGAGCACCUCCACAGCUUCUCUGAGCGCUUGCUGCUCCGUGGCGCUGUUCAGCGCGCUGAAUCUCGCCGCCACCGCCAUGGUCGUUCUGAGCUUUGAUUGAGCACCACCGCUGGUGCUUCGAGCGGCCCCUGCUCCAUGGCGAUCUCCAGCACCAGAACAUCGGCGGCAAGGAGAGAGGAGCAGAGCGGCGCGGUGCAGGAACUCGACCAGGCCAUGCCGCCCUCAAAUCCUCAAGAAGUGUCGCCGUUCAUUGGCCUCGUCGACGGGAGAGGGAGCAGAGGAGCAAGGAGAGGAGCGAAGUGGAGCGGCAGUAGCGAAUCGGAGAGAGGAGGUUCAGUGCGGCUGGGUGCGACCAAAGUGUUUUGAUCGGACAAGGUACUGCCUGGCCUAAUACACCUGUUCAUGUGGAUAAAACCACAUAUCAAAACAGCCAUGAGGGUAAUUGACUGGUAUUGCAUACUUAUGGGGUUAUAUGUCCAGUUAAUAGUUAGGGGGGGUUAGCGGCCAAAACACAAUAGUUAGGGGUUAUGUGGACUUCUUUCUUAAAUAAAUAAAUCAUACUAAGUGAGUACUUUGAAUAUUAAUAAUUUUAUUGAUAUGAUAGAUAAAAUGGAAAAAUAAAUUUUUUGGAGGUAACAACACUUGGCGGAAAAAUACAGGAUUAGAAUGUCCUGCAUUUUGUUCAAAAAAAAUGCCCUGCAUUCACAUACAGUUGGUCCAUUACUAUGUGAUGAUCCAAAGUUCCAAUUGUAAUUGAGUUUUUUUUAAUACAAAUAAAUAUAUUAUAGGAAAAUAAAAUGAGAUACACAAUCAAGCAAGGGGUAUAAAAUAUUUGUCCUUGUGGAUUCUAGAGGACAAAACAUAUUUUCCAUCAUUUAGGAAAUUCAAGAUAUGCAAAAUAAGGAGAUCCUAGCAAUUAAAAUAACCGAUGAUCUCUGCAAAAAUACUCGUAGCCAUAGCCGCAGAGUCUGCUGUCUAUAGCCGUAGCUUGCCUGGUCGGUGUCAUCCAAUUGUUUUGCAAAACAAAAGGCUGCCAUCUAGCUGGUCGACGUACUAGCUAGCUAGGCGUAGGACUGGACGGCUGGUAGGACAUUGCCAUGGCAUGGCCCUGCGAUAUGGAGCAGCGCGCCGGUGUCAGUGUGUUUUUGGGACUUUGCAGUGUUGGGGCACGCAUGCUUGACGUGCUGCGACUCGGUGCUGCUGCCACAGAUGCUUGACGUGACAAUGCACGAACUGAACUGUGCAGUAAAAAUUCAUUGCAUUCACCCACUUCAAUUUUACUACCACCACCAGCUCCGGCUCGUCUCGUCUUCCUCCCCAAGCCGCCUAUAAAACGCGCCGUUCUCCUUACUGCCUGGCUAUAUAACGGAGGAGGAACAUACCACGAGAUCUAUCCAGCCCACUCUAGCUAUCCUCUCUCUUCUGAGCAAGAAAUGGCGCCAGUGAUAGCAGAUUUGAGUUUCGUGGAGGGAGAGCUAAGGAAGCCGACCCUCUGGGGGUCGUCGGAAUGGGUGUGUAGAGAAAGCACGUCGCCAGCCGACCGUGGAUCUCGGCACGGUCUACGGCUUUACUAUGCCAUCCAUUCCAAUGAUUCCCAGGCGCUCCUUCCUUGGCUUGUGUCCUUUCAGCUGUUUUCCGGUGUGUGAGCCAGCACUUGCCAAGUUGCUAGUUCUCUUUAGCCAAACAAAGUUUAUGUAGUUUGGCCAGCAAGUUUGGGUGUAGUAGACUAGUAGCUGGCUGCUAGUGCAAGUUUAUGGGUUUUAACAACUCGCAAGCAAAAAUGAUGGCAAAUCUUGUACUCUCCUUCCCUCCGUCAUAGUUCGAUGUUUUAUUGCUUGAGAGUAAAUAGUUCUUUUUUUUUUACCGUAUAUACUUCGGUGAGUUCAUAUACAAGAAACUACUCUGUCAAGUGAUUAGUUCUUGUCCUGAAAACAUGGAAAACAAAAGAGGAUCUCAACUCGGAGCUCCCUUUUGUUGUAGGGAGCCUCGUGUUUGUGUCAUUUUUCCGAUGUGCCAGAAAUUGCUUCUCUUUCACUUUUGGGGGAAAUUAAGUUCGUUUUAGUGGAUUUUUGCCCGUUCUCAGUUCUCUGUGCUGAUAAAAUGACUUGCAAAAUAAUACUCCAGUAUUGAGUAGUAGUAGUAGUACAGUUGAUGGUGACCAUUAUAUCUUCAGUUCCUUAGCAUCGGAGCUGCCGAAGUCAAACAUGGCAGCGUCCACCGGCUCACCGCCGCAUCGGUGUUCUCAUUUCAUGGCCACGAGACGGCGUCGACGUCCCUGCCGAUCUGCAGGGUCUUGCGGUGCACGGGUGCCCAUCGGUGGUGCCGACGGCGGCAGCGGCCGCAGCGGAACCAAGUGUCGGCGUCCGCACCCUGGGCACGGCUCUGGCUUGAGCGACCCCCGGCAUGCGGCGGCGGUGGCACCGAUCCCUCCCGCUUUCCGUACACACUAGAUGCUUCACGUUUGCCAUUGCGAUGCAGUAUUUGCAUCUUACAUGUACACUAUUAAUCAGCUACCAAUUGCUAGCGCAAUGCUAUUCUGUGGCCCAUGAAGCCAUGACCAAUAAACUACAUUGCUUAAGCUA